rnacentral:rRNA from 1 species
UACGUAGGGUGCAAGCGUUUAAUCGGAAUUACUGGGCGUAAAGCGCACGUAGGCGGCUUUGUAAGUUAGAGGUGAAAGCCCGGGGCUCAACUCCGGAAUUGCCUUUAAGACUGCAUCGCUAGAAUUGUGGAGAGGUAAGUGGAAUUCCGAGUGUAGAGGUGAAAUUCGUAGAUAUUCGGAAGAACACCAGUGGCGAAGGCGGCUCACUGGACUGGUAUUGACGCUGAGGUGCGAAAGCGUGGGGAGCAAACAGG